rnacentral:rRNA from 1 species
AGGGCACCACCAGGGGUGGAGCCUGCGGCUUAAUUUGACUCAACACGGGAAAACUCACCCGGCCCGGACACUGGAAGGAUUGACAGAUUGAGAGCUCUUUCUUGAUUCAGUGGGUGGUGGUGCAUGGCCGUUCUUAGUUGGUGGAGUGAUUUGUCUGGUUAAUUCCGAUAACGAACGAGACUCUAGCCUAUUAAAUAGAUUCCCGGCUUACAAACGCCGGCAAGACUUCUUAGAGGGACAGGCGGUGAUUCCACCGCACGAAACAAACCAUUAACAGGUCGGUAAGGCCCUUGGUGGUCGGGGGGCACGCGCGCUCCACUGAGGAGAUAUCGUGAGAUAUGUUCCUGCUCCUACCGGAGUGGGGAACCCAGUGAAGCAACCUCGUGAUUGGGAUAGAAGAUUGGAAUUGUACUUCUUGAACGAGGAGUUCCCAGUAAGUGCGAGUCCUAAGCUUGCGUGAUUACGUCCCUGCCCUUUGUACACACGCGCCCGUCUCUACCACCGAUCGAACGACUUAAU